CAGCUCUGAUUCGACCCCUAGCCUGGGAUCCUCCAUAUGCUGUGGGUGCAGCCCUAAAAAGACAAGAGACAAAAAAAAGAAAAAAAAAGUUAAGAUUUUUAAAAUGUUGACAGCAGGGUCUUAACCUCCAAGCCCAAGGCUCAUGUGACCAUUCAGGUCACAUGCCUGCGAGACUGGCCCUGCCUAGCAGGUGGCCCCAGGGUGUUUUCAUGGCAAUUUUCUGGGGGUACUUGGCCGGGAACUUCCUGCCCCUUCUCUGCUUCCAUGACCAUCAUCCCCCUUGCUCUCCUAGACUCACUUGGCUUUCUUAUCCGCACCAAGAAAUCUGUCCAAACAUCCCUCUGCACAACCCCAGGUCCUCAAGCCGAGGUGGGUCUUUCUCCUCCAAGCACCUUUUAGGUGAUGAUUCCCCAAGGAUGGGCCCCCACCACCUACUGGCUGAGCACCUGGGGCAGUUGAGACAGUGAAUCGGAAGCUCGGGGUAGGGGGCUGGGGAUGCGAGAAGCUCACAGGUAGGUCUGACGCCCCUCGCUAAAGUUUGAGAACUAACGCCCUGGCCCACUCCCCUCUCCAGGGUGCGUGUAUGGUUCCUCUGUUUCCUUACCACCUGGCACAGAGCCUGGCACCUAAGGGUGUUCCCUGGCCUCCAGAGGGGCUCCACAAUGGGGAGAGGUGUUCUCACCACAGACCCACGUGACAGAGUCCCGUUUUCUCUGGUUGUGACCCCUCUGGGAGACCCCAGGCAGCUGCAGGCCAAGGAGGCCGCAAGGCCUGGAAUUUCCAGCAUUUUCUUCUGGGUUUCCUCCUCCUCCUCUAACAGAGAGGCGACAGGGAACAAGCUAGCCACCCUGGGGCCUGGCACUGGCUUGUGGCAGGCCCAAAGCAAAGGACAGCUUGAGUUUGGCCAUGGCUGCUUGACCCCAGUCCCAGUCCCGGCAUCCGGAGUGUUGGUCACAGAAGCCCAGGGAGCGGUGCCCGAGGCCCAACAGAGCUCCUGUCCUCCACCCCCCAACCUGCACCCUGGCCCUGUGAUGCUGCAAAGGCAUGGGUGAUGGGCCCGCUCCAGCCCCAGGCCCAAAGCAGGGAAGGGAAGAUGCCACUGUGGGUGAUGGGUGGCUCUGCCCAGGAAGCAACCAUACAUGGACAGGGAUGGGAUGGACAAAGUGGCGGGUACAGCCCAGGGAACAGUGGUGUGCCCUCCACGCUGGGCUCACCCUCUGCUCAGUCCAAAGGUCUCAGGGGGCCAUACUCCCAGACCACCCCAGGGUCAUCCUACAUCACUGAGCUGGCCAUCUGCAGCCCCAGGUGCCCCCCAUGGCCCUCAGAGCUGCAGCUUCUUGUUGCCCCCUCAUCCUCUGAGCUCCAGCCUCUCACGGCCCUAUUUGAGGCAUAUCUACCCCGAGCUGGAAGGCCGCCUCACUGCAGCUUGGCCCUCCCUCUCCUGUUUUGAUUAGAUACGAAGUGUUUUUGCUUUGUUUAACAAAUAUUCCUGGUUUCUCGUAUGCUGUUGUUUCGAACAGUGGCUCUUUCUAACUAGGAGCAUUAUCACAUUGGGAUCCCGUGCCAGCCAAACCAGGACAAGUUUCUAGGCCUUGAGGAAGCUGUUAGAGAGGGGUGCCCUGCGGUGCUCGAUGCAGCAGGAAGAAAGCCCCCCACCGCCCACCCCACGGACCAUCAGCAAUUGCCUAGGAGCCUGCUGUCCAAGGGUCUGUGUGGGGCUGCCUGAAUAAGCAGAUGUCUCCCAGAUCGCAAGGAAACUGGGGCCACUUCUAUGUCGAGAGCUUGAGCCACAUACAGCUUCUCACUCUUCCCCUGAAACUUUCCUUAAUCGUCAUCCUCAUCACCCAGGAUUAACAGCUUAGACUGAUCAAGUGCUUCAUAUGUGCAAGGCACUGCAUGAAUGUUUUCCUUAAGAGUCUCAUUCUAUCCCAUAACAAUCCUGAAAUGUUGCAGUCACUAGCCCCAUUUAGGGAUGGAGCGAUGGAGGCUCAGAGGUACAGGUCACCUGUCCAAGGUCAUAGAGAUAUUAGGAUUUAGAUGCACAUCGCACUGUGGCCAUAGUGAACCUGGCCUAUACGGUUCCCUCAUGGAUUUCUUCCUUUCUUUUUUUCUGUGCCAGGGGCAUGCAGAAGUUCCUGGGUCAGGGAUUGAACCCAAGCUGCAGCAGUGACCUGAGUCACAGCGGUGACAAUGCCACGACUACUUGCUGUUUGUGGCCUCCCCAUCAGUACACGAGGGUGCUCGGUAUUACCUUUCCUCAGCCCACUGUAGCAACCACCACAUGGGUCUGCAUAUCUGUGUACCUGUGGUAUCACAAACUAUAUAUAUAAUACGUAUAUAUAUAUUAUAUACAUAUUUACUCUUCGUCCCCAGUUCCUGGCAGCGUUCUUAAAACCCUUGGAAUUUCCCGAUAGGAAGGGUUAUGCACACCUGAGUUUAUGCCAGUGGGGUGGCUCCUGGAAGUUCCCAGGGGAACCAAACUCUGGUUUGAGGGUUGGACAUUCAGCCCCACCCACCUCUCUGUCCCCUCCGGGGAGGGGAGAGGGACUGGGAUUGAGUUCAUCCCUGAAUGGCUGGUAAUUUAAUCAGUCACUGAAACUGAAUGACACCUCCAUAAAAAAUAUCUGACCUACAGGGUUGAGGCACUUCUGAACUGGGACCACAUUUCCAACUCAAUGGGGACAGAGGCUCCUGGGCUGGGGACCCUUCUCAAUCUUGUUCUAAGCAGCUCCUUGCCUCUUCCUGAGCGCUGUGAGCCCUUGUAGUAUUUGUUGAAGCUGAAGGCAGGUCAUGGGAACCACUGAGUUUUCAGCUGGACGGACGAGCAGGUAGCCCAGGGGCCCCAUUUGUAGUAGGUGUCAGAAGUGGGUGGGGGGCCAUCUAUGGCCCUGAGCCCUUGAAUUGUAUAGAGUCUGCACAGAUUCUGGGCAGUUAGUGUCAGAGUUGGAUUGAAUUGUAGGACACCCAGUUGGUGUCGGAGAAUUUAAGAACCCACUGGUUGAUGUUGGAAAAACCAUCGAACCACCCAGCUAACCCAUGAGCUUCUAGGUCUGGGAAGGAUGCGACAGCAUAGAGCCUGGCUCGCCGCAUGUGCUGGGUACUUUCACCCCUUAGUCUGCAACUUCCAGCUCUUGCCCUCUAGGUGCAGCUCCUGAAACCUCUUUUGAUCUUCACUUAGUUUGUGAGACUGACAUUCACUGAGUCCAUUACAG
ensembl:lncRNA